rnacentral:ncRNA from 11 species
CCCUUCCUUGUCUUGGGGAGCAUAAUAUCCAAUGAACGAAUAGUGAGGGUAUUGAUGCUGGCACCCACAUUGAUACGAGCCUUUCGCGCUCGCACUUAAACCCCCGCUCGGGUGGCCGCUUUCGAACAGUGCGCUACCUGGGCGGAAUUUUUGGAACG